rnacentral:rRNA from 1 species
GAGUUUGAUCCUGGCUCAGAUUGAACGCUGGCGGCAUGCCUUACACAUGCAAGUCGAACGGCAGCGCGGGAGCAAUCCUGGCGGCGAGUGGCGAACGGGUGAGUAAUAUAUCGGAACGUGCCCAGUCGUGGGGGAUAACGUAGCGAAAGUUACGCUAAUACCGCAUACGAUCUACGGAUGAAAGCAGGGGACUCGCAAGAGCCUUGCGCGAUUGGAGCGGCCGAUAUCAGAUUAGGUAGUUGGUGAGGUAAAGGCUCACCAAGCCAACGAUCUGUAGCUGGUCUGAGAGGACGACCAGCCACACUGGAACUGAGACACGGUCCAGACUCCUACGGGAGGCAGCAGUGGGGAAUUUUGGACAAUGGGCGCAAGCCUGAUCCAGCAAUGCCGCGUGCAGGACGAAGGCCUUCGGGUUGUAAACUGCUUUUGUACGGAACGAAACGGUCUGGGAUAAUACCCUGGGCUAAUGACGGUACCGUAAGAAUAAGCACCGGCUAACUACGUGCCAGCAGCCGCGGUAAUACGUAGGGUGCAAGCGUUAAUCGGAAUUACUGGGCGUAAAGCGUGCGCAGGCGGUUAUGUAAGACAGAUGUGAAAUCCCCGGGCUCAACCUGGGAACCGCAUAUGUGACUGCAUAGCUAGAGUGCGGCAGAGGGGGAUGGAAUUCCGCGUGUAGCAGUGAAAUGCGUAGAUAUGCGGAGGAACACCGAUGGCGAAGGCAAUCCCCUGGGCUGCACUGACCUCAUG